GGCCGAGGGAAACACAACCCCAAGCAGCCUGGAGUAAGUGGUCCCGAGGCAGCUCAAGACAGUUUGGUUUUAUUCAUUUCAGAGAGACAGGAAUUGCAGGGAAAAUCAUGAAUCAGUGCCUGGAAGGUGUAAGUUCCAUUGGCAGAAAGGGUGGGACCUGUGGAAGGGGGGUUAGAAGGCACAGGUAGUUGAGGGAUUCUGUAGGUGGCAGCUGGUUGAGAGUGUUGAAUCUUUGUCUAAAGUUUGGAGGAGGUAGGAAGGAAUGCUGAAGGAAGGGGGUCUGUUAUCUGCCACUUCAUUCCAUCCCAGCCAAAAAACAGACCUGUUUCUCGAGAUUUUAUGAAUUCUAAGGCGUAACUUUACCUUUGCCUUGCGUGGCCUUAGGUCUUGUUUGUAAUUUGGUAUCUUGUUGCCACAAGGAGUCUGUUUUUCCAGUCAGAUAAUGUCUGUUUUUACAUGAAUGUGCGUCAGUUGCUGCAUGUAAACUCCUAAAGGGAGAGGGUAUAAGGAGACCUGUCUCACCUCCCAUCCUGUCAUACAGAGGCACUCAAUUUUCAGGGUUUUUUGGGGGUUCCCUUGGCCAAGAGCCAGUCACUUCACUUAGCUGGGAAGGUACUUUGUUUUUGUUUUUGUUUGAGACAGAGUCUCCUGUAGCCCAGGGUGGUGUGCAGUGGCUCUAUCUUGGCUCACUGCAACCUCCACCUUCCGGGUUCAAGCGAUUCUCCUGCCUCAGCUUCCCGAGUGGCUGGGAUUACAGGCAUGUGCCACCACACCCGGCUAAUUUUUGUAUUUUUAGUAGAGAUGGGGUUUCACCAUGUUGGCCAGGCUGUUCCUGAACUCCUGACCUCAAGUGAUCCACUGGCCUCGGCCUCCCAAAAUGCUGGGAUUACAUGUGUGAGCCACCUCACCAGGCCAGAAGGUAUGUUUUUAUUUUUAGUUUACAGGUUGAAGGCUGGACUUUUAUAAGGUACAUGAGGAGACAAACCAGAUAAAUGCUUGAUUGGUUGCAGAGAUGCAGUCACCUUAUUUGGACUUGUCAACCCGAAAUAAUCGAAAGUUUCAGAUUUCAACUGGAAGAGUUUAUUCAAGCAAAAAGAUAGCAAUGGCCCAUUUGGGAAAAACACAGACUCCAGAGAAAUGGACUCAGUACUCCAAAAUUGGAAGUUAAGUUCUUGCUUAUAUUACUGGGAAAAGAGGUCCUGAUCAGAUCCCAAGAGAGUUCUUGGAUCUCAUACAGGAAGGAAUUCAAGACGAGUCGGAAAGUACAGUGCAAAGAGAGUUUAUUGAAAGCUACUCUGGGCCAGCAUGAUGGCUUAGGCCUGUAAUCUAAGCACUUUGGGAGGCCGAGGUGGGAGGAUCACUUGAGGUCAGGAGUUUGAGACCAGCCUGGGCAAUAUAGUGAAACCCCAUCUCUUCCAAAAAUAACAAAAAUUAGCCGGGUGUGGUGGCCUGCACCUGUAGUCCCAGGUACUCGGGAGGCUGGAUGGGACAAUCACUUGAACCCGGGAGGCAGAGGUUGCAGCCCAGCUGAGGACACGCCACUGCACUCCAGCUUGGGUAACAGAGUGAGACCCCAUCUCAAAAAACAAAAACAAAACAAACAAACAAGACAGAGUUCAAGACCAACGUGGCCAACACAGUGAGACCCUGUCUCUAUUU
rnacentral:lncRNA from 10 species